rnacentral:rRNA from 1 species
UACGUAGGGGGGCAAGCGUUGUCCGGAUUUAUUGGGCGUAAAGAGCUUGUAGGCGGUUUGUCGCGUCUGCUGUGAAAUUUCGGGGCUCAACCCCGAACUUGCAGUGGGGUACGGGCAGACUAGAGUGUGGUAGGGGAGACUGGAAUUCCUGGUGUAGCGGUGAAAUGCGCAGAUAUCAGGAGGAACACCGGGUGGCGAAGGCGGUUCUCUGGGCCUUACCUGACGCUGAGGAGCGAAAAGCGUGGGGG